rnacentral:rRNA from 1 species
ACGGGAGGCAGCAGUGGGGAAUAUUGCACAAUGGGGGAAACCCUGAUGCAGCAACGCCGCGUGGCGGAUGAAGGCCCUUGGGUCGUAAACUUCUGUUCUAAGGGAAGAUGAUGACGUUACCUUAGGAGCAAGUCCCGGCUAACUACGUGCAAGCAGCCGCGGUAAUACGUAGGGGGCAAGAGAUAUCCGGAAUUAUUGGGCGUAAAGAGUACGUCGGCGGUUUCCUAAGCAUGGGGUUUAAGGCAAUGGCUUAACCAUUGUUCGCCCCAUGAACUGGGUUACUUGAGUGCUGGAGAGGAAAGCGGAAUUCCUAGUGUAGCGGUGAAAUGCGUAGAUAUUAGGAGGAACACCAGUGGCGAAGGCGGCUUUCUGGACAGUAACUGACGCUGAGGUACGAAAGUGUGGGGAGCAAACAGGAUUAGAUACCCUGGUA